rnacentral:rRNA from 1 species
AGAGUUUGAUCCUGGCUCAGAACGAACGCUGGCGGCAUGGCUAAGACAUGCAAGUCGUACGAACCGUUUUUUGCUUGCAACGGACGGUUAGUGGCGAAAGGGUGAGUAAUGCAUGGGUAACGUACCCCGAACACGAGGAUAACAGCGGGAGCAAUCCCUUUAGCGAAAGUGCUGCUAAUACUCGACGAUGUCAUCGGGCCGCAUGGCUUGGUGAUCGAAGGCGGGGAUCCGUUUCGGCGGACCUGCCGGUUUGGGAGCGGCCCAUGUCCUAUCAGCUUGUUGGUGGGGUAACGGCCUACCAAGGCAGCGACGGGUAGCGGGACUGAGAGGUUGACCCGCCACAUCGGGACUGAGACACUGCCCGGACACCUACGGGUGGCUGCAGUAACGAAUAUUGGGCAAUGGGCGCAAGCCUGACCCAGCAAUGCCGCGUGCAGGAGGAAGCCCCUCGGGGUGUAAACUGCUGUCAGGAGUCAGCAAGCAAUGGGUGUUAAUAGCACCCGGCGUUGAGCAGCUCCAGAGGAAGCCUCGACUAACUCUGUGCCAGCAGUCGCGGUAAGACAGAGGAGGCAAGCGUUGUUCGGAAUCACUGGGCUUAAAGCGGGUGUAGGCGGCUUGGCAAGUGUUGUGUGAAAGCCCACGGCUCAACCGUGGAACUGCACAGCAAACUGCCUGGCUUGAGGUCGGUAGAGGUACCUGGAACUCUAGGUGGAGCGGUGAAAUGCGUAGAUAUCUAGAGGAACGCCAGAGGCGAAAGCGGGGUACUGGGCCGAUUCUGACGCUGAGACCCGAAAGCGUGGGGAGCAAACAGGAUUAGAUACCCUGGUAGUCCACGCCGUAAACGAUGCACACUAGACGUCGGAGCCUCUGACAGCAUCGGCGUCGGAGCAAAAGUAAUAAGUGUGCCGCCUGGGGAGUACGGCCGCAAGGCUAAAACUCAAAGGAAUUGACGGGGGCUCACACAAGCGGUGGAGCAUGUGGCUUAAUUCGAAGCAACGCGAAGAACCUUACCUGGGUUUGACAUGCUUGGAUGUGCUCCGGGGAUAACUCGGAGUCACUGCCCUUCGGGGUGAAACUUGCACAGGUGUUGCAUGGCUGUCGUCAGCUCGUGCUGUGAAGUGUCGGGUUAAGUCCCUUAACGAGCGAAACCCCUGUCGCUAGUUGCCAGCGGGUCAUGCCGGGGACUCUAGCGAGACUGCCGGCGUUAAGCCGGAGGAAGGUGGGGACGACGUCAAGUCAUCAUGGCCUUUAUGCCCGGGGAUGCACACGUGCUACAAUGGCGUGUACAGAUCGAUGCGAGGCCGCGAGGCGGAGCAAAUCGCAAAAAGCACGCCCCAGUUCGGAUUGGAGUCUGCAAUUCGACUCCAUGAAGUUGGAAUCGCUAGUAAUCGCGUAUCAGCUACGACGCGGUGAAUGUGUUCCUGAGCCUUGUACACACCGCCCGUCAAGUCAUGGAAGCUGGUAGUACCCGAAGUCCGCUUAGCUAACUUUCGAGAGGCGGCGGCCGACGGUAAGACCGGUGACUGGGACUAAGUCGUAACAAGGUAGCCGUAGGGGAACCUGCGGCUGGAUCACCU